rnacentral:rRNA from 1 species
ACGGCUCAGUAACACGUGGACAACCUAACCUACAGAGGGGGAUAACCCCGGGAAACUGGGGAUAAUACCCCAUAGACUAUGGAUGCUGGAAUGCUUCGUAGUUGAAAGGUCCGCCGCUGUAGGAUGGGUCUGCGGCCGAUUAGGUUGUUGUUGGGGUAACGGCCCAACAAGCCUGUAAUCGGUACGGGUUGUGGGAGCAAGAGCCCGGAGAUGGAUUCUGAGACACGAAUCCAGGCCCUACGGGGCGCAGCAGGCGCGAAAACUUUGCAAUGCGGGGAACCGUGACAAGGGAACUCUGAGUGCCCGUUAAAUCGGGCUGUCCAUCGGUUUAAAUAACCGGUGAAGAAAGGGCCGGGCAAGACCGGUGCCAGCCGCCGCGGUAAUACCGGCGGCUCGAGUGGUGGCCACUAUUACUGGGCUUAAAGCGUUCGUAGCUGGUUUGUUAAGUCUCUGGGGAAAUCUUCCGGCUUAACCGGAAGGCGUCUCAGGGAUACUGGCAGACUAGGGACCGGGAGAGGUGAGAGGUACUCCAGGGGUAGGAGUGAAAUCCUGUAAUCCUUGGGGGACCACCUGUGGCGAAGGCGUCUCACCAGAACGGCUCCGACAGUGAGGGACGAAAGCUGGGGGAGCAAACCGGAUUAGAUACCCGGGUAGUCCCAGCUGUAAACGAUGCGCGUUAGGUGUAUCGGUGACCACGAGUCACCGAGGUGCCGAAGAGAAAUCGUGAAACGUGCCGCCUGGGAAGUACGGUCGCAAGGCUGAAACUUAAAGGAAUUGGCGGGGGAGCAC